GCGAGUCUGGCCGAGUGGUUAAGGCGUCACGUUUAGGAAAGGAAGGAACGACCGACCGUUCGAUCCGUGAUGGGCAUGCCCGCGUAGGUUCGAAUCCUGCGGCUCGCA